rnacentral:lncRNA from 1 species
GGCGGUACAGGCCAACCGAGAAGUUCGAAGUAGGAUGUGGUCGAAGAAUGGAUCGUGAGUGAACCACGAGACAUAUUAAGCUGCUCUACUUUUUUUAGAAGAGUCUUAGAUUGAUCAGACGAAGAUUUUGGAAGAAUCACAUUUUUGGAAGCACGACGGUUUAGAAGCUCGACGUUUCAGAAACCCGAUGUUUCUUAGCCACUAAGUUUUCCGCGAAACUUCACAUC